AGCGGCGGACGGGUGAGUAACGCGUGGGUAACCUGCCUCAUACAGGGGGAUAACAGUUGGAAACGGCUGCUAAUACCGCAUAAGCGCACAGUACCGCAUGGUACGGUGUGAAAAACUCCGGUGGUAUGAGAUGGACCCGCGUCUGAUUAGGUAGUUGGUGGGGCAACGGCCUACCAAGCCGACGAUCAGUAGCCGACCUGAGAGGGUGACCGGCCACAUUGGGACUGAGACACGGCCCAA
rnacentral:rRNA from 1 species